AACAUAGUCCCUCCGUCCCAAAAUUCUCAUCUUAGAGAUUUGUUUAGAUAUGAAUGUAUCUAGUCAAGUUUUAAUAUUUAGAUACAUUCAUUUUUAGACAAAGCUAAGACAAGAAUUAUGGGACGGAGGGAGUAUGUU
rfam:Hordeum vulgare subsp. vulgare, WGS project CAJW01000000 data, contig: morex_contig_458744